rnacentral:rRNA from 1 species
GAUGAACGCUGGCGGCGUGCCUCAAACAUGCAAGUCGAGCGAGGCUAUGAAUUACCGCAAGGUAAGGCAUAGCCUAGCGGCGAACGGGUGAGUAACACGUGGGUAACCUACCUGGAAGACAGGGAUAACGAUUCGAAAGGGUCGCUAAUACCUGAUAAUAUCCGCCUGCCGGAUGGCGGAGGGAAGAAAGGGGAAACCCGCUUUCAGAUGGGCCCGCGUCCCAUCAGCUAGUUGGUAAGGUAAAGGCUUACCAAGGCGACGACGGGUAGCCGGUCUGAGAGGAUGUACGGCCACACUGGGACUGAGAUACGGCCCAGACUCCUACGGGAGGCAGCAGUUGGGAAUCUUAGGCAAUGGACGAAAGUCUGACCUAGCGACGCCGCGUGAGGGAAGAAGGCCUUCGGGUUGUAAACCUCUGUCAUGGGGAAGAAGGAAGUGACGGUACCCCAAGAGGAAGCCCCUGCUAACUACGUG